AAUAGAUACCCUGGUAGUCCUAGCCGUAAACGAUGAACACUAGGCGUAGUCGGUAUCGACCCCGGCUGUGCUGUAGCUAACGCAUUAAGUGUUCCGCCUGGGGAGUACGGCCGCAAGGCUAAAACUCAAAGGAAUUGACGGGGGGCCCGCACAAGCAGCGGAGCGUGUGGUUUAAUUCGUCGCAACGCGAAGAACCUUACCAGGGCUUGACAUGUGGCGGAAAACGGCGGAAACGUCGUCCUCCCGCAAGGGACCGUCAUGCAGGUGUUGCAUGGCUGUCGUCAGCUCGUGUCGUGAGAUGUUGGGUUAAGUCCCGCAACGAGCGCAACCCCCGUGGCAUGUUGUAUCUCUCAUGCCAGACUGCCGAGAGAAACUCGGAGGAAGGUGGGGAUGACGCCAAGUCAGCAUGGCCCUUACGUCCUGGGCUACACACACGCUACAAUGGCCGGUACAACGGGUUGCCAAACCGCGAGGUGGAGCUAAUCCCUUAAAGCCGGUCUCAGUUCGGAUUGCAGGCUGCAACUCG
rnacentral:rRNA from 1 species